UGGGGAAUAUUGCACAAUGGGCGCAAGCCUGAUGCAGCAACGCCGCGUGAGGGAUGACGGCCUUCGGGUUGUAAACCUCUUUUUAGCAGGGAAGAAGCGAAAGUGACGGUACCUGCAGAAAAAAGCGCCGGCUAACUACGUGCCAGCAGCCGCGGUAAUACGUAGGGCGCAAGCGUUAUCCGGAAUUAUUGGGCGUAAAGAGCUCGUAGGCGGUUUGUCGCGUCUGCUGUGAAAAUCCCGAGGCUCAACCUCGGGUCUGCAGUGGGUACGGGCAGACUAGAGUGCGGUAGGGGAGAUUUGGAAUUCCUGGUGUAGCGGUGGAAUGCGCAGAUAUCAGGAGGAACACCGAUGGCGAAGGCAGAUCUCUGGGCCCGUAACUGACGCUGAGGAGCGAAA
rnacentral:rRNA from 1 species